AUUGAACGCUGGCGGCAGGCCUAACACAUGCAAGUCGGGCGGAGCGGCGGACGGGUGAGAAAUGUAUGGGGAUCUGCCUGAUGGAGGGGGAAAACGUGCGGAAAGGGGCGCUAAUACCGAAUACUAGCAGGAGAGCCUAAGGCGGAUUGGAUAGUUGGUGGGGUAAAGGCCUACAAAGGCGACGAUCCGUAACUGGUCUGAGAGGAUGAUCAGUCACACUGGAACUGAGACACGGUCCAGACUCCUACGGGAGGCAGCAGUGGGGAAUAUUGGACAAUGGGCGAAAGCCUGAUCCAGCCAUGCCGCGUGUGUGAAGAAGGUCUUCGGAUUGUAAAGCACUUUAAGUUGGGAGGCGUUACCAACAGAAUAAGCACCGGCUAACUUCGUGCCAGCAGCCGCGGUAAUUC
rnacentral:rRNA from 1 species